UCCGGUUUAACACCGGCAGUCUCUUCAGAGUGCCUAACUUAAUAUUGGCAACUAAAGACAAGGGUUGCGCUCGUUGCGGGACUUAACCCAACAUCUUACGACACGAGCUGACGACAGCCAUGCAGCACCUGUCACCACGUCCCCGAAGGGAAAACUACAUCUCUGUAGUCGUCGUGGGAUGUCAAACCCAGGUAAGGUUCUGCGCGUUGCUUCGAAUUAAACCACAUACUCCACCGCUUGUGCGGGCCCCCGUCAAUUUCUUUGAGUUUUAGCCUUGCGGCCGUACUUCCCAGGCGGGAUACUUAAUGCGUUAGCUUAGAUACUCAGAGGGUUAACUCUCCGAACAUCGAGUAUCCAUCGUUUACGGUGCGGACUAC
rnacentral:misc_RNA from 1 species